UAGGGAAUCUUCGGCAAUGGGGGGAACCCUGACCGAGCAACGCCGCGUGAGUGAAGAAGGUUUUCGGAUCGUAAAGCUCUGUUGUUAAGGAAGAACGAGUGUGAGAAUGGAAAGUUCAUGCUGUGACGGUACUUAACCAGAAAGGGACGGCUAACUACGUGCCAGCAGCCGCGGUAAUACGUAGGUCCCGAGCGUUGUCCGGAUUUAUUGGGCGUAAAGCGAGCGCAGGCGGUCAAUUAAGUCUGAUGUGAAAGCCCCCGGCUCAACCGGGGAGGGUCAUUGGAAACUGGUUGACUUGAGUGCAGAAGAGGAGAGUGGAAUUCCAUGUGUAGCGGUGAAAUGCGUAGAUAUAUGGAGGAACACCAGUGGCGAAAGCGGCUCUCUGGUCUGUAACUGACGCUGAGGCUCGAAAGCGUGGGGAGCGAACAGG
rnacentral:rRNA from 1 species